rnacentral:lncRNA from 1 species
GUCACAAAGUGAGCACAGUAGGUUGGUAAUUAAUCUUUAGUUCCCAGGAAGAGAUGCUUAUCCUUAAAGAAGUGCUGAUAUGUGGGGGGAGCCACAUCCCUAUCUUUAAGGGCAUCACUCUUGUCUUUGGGACACUAAAUGUUUAAAGCAGAUGUAUAAUGCAUGCUCAACAGGCCACUUCAGGCCCUUUUGGAAAAAUAAGGUCAGGCCGAAUUAGUUUUACACUAAUGGCUUCCUCAUGUACUCCAAUACAUCCUAUUGUUUUUCAUUUAUUUAUCAUUAUGCAGUAUAUGCUCCUGGCUCAGGUAGGAAACCUAAUCAGUUGGCUCAUUUGGCCUAAUCAGGGCUCAGCUAAAAUGCAAGGCUGGUACUAAAGAGGAGCGACAUACAAUAAUCCUUAAUCCUCACCAACUAUGGGCACUGUUGUCUGAAAAACACGGAGGCUGAAAACCCUUAGUUGGCAAGAAGAAUGAAGGUCUUACUGAAAAUGACGUUUUUGAGGAAAAAUAAUUGAAAUCAUGCUAAAAAUUAAAACACAGUAAAGAAGACUUUCUAGAAAAAAAUCUCUACAUUCAAAAUAAACUAGUUCUGUUCAGGUUAAAGAUUUAAUCUCAGAGGCGGUCCUCCUCCCGUUGUUCAGGAGGAGUUGGAGCGGCUUCAUGAGCCGCUGCGGUAGAUUUCCAGUUUUGUGACAGCCCAACUCUAUCCCAUUUUAUACUGUUUGAACCUACCAUUACCAACUUGAAUUGCACUUUUGGUCUUACUUGCUUUAUUUUUGCAUGUCUUGACAAAAACGUGUUGGUAAUCACCUAGUCUUUUCAUGAAUUAUUGAGGAACUUACAAACCUGUUUUGUGGUGGUUACAAGGCCGCCUGCCCUUAAAUGGAAAUAUUAUCUCUCUGCAAUAUUUCGUAGGUUAGGCCAUAUGACCUGGGCAAAGAGAGAGAGUAGCAAGAAAUAAUUUCUAUUAUGUUCUCUUGCUUAAGAGGACUAAAUAAAAUCUCAAGGAUUAAAAACAAUGUCAUGACUUUGAACAUUUCGACCUACAAUUAUGAACCAGUACUAAGGCUAAUCCUUAAAUUGGCAAGAGAUGAUGAGAGCUUUUUACUACAGGUCACGCUUGAAUUAAGUAGAUAUCUCUCUCCUCCCAUGUCUUUCUCUCCACCUCCCAUUGACCCCUCCCAAACAUUUUCGGGGGAUGCUGAGCCAAAACCAUGGUUGUAUGGAGUGAGGCAAAUAGCGGGAGCAUCUCCUACCACAGUUGCAGAAGGGAGGAGUUUGGGGAUGUGCAAGUUGGGAUCUGUGGAUAAUUCAACUGGAGAAAAGGUCUAAAUGGGUUGUCAAAACAAGGAGGGCCUGACGCUUGUUGGGGAAUCAGAUAAGAGAGUCAAGGUGUGAAAGAGAGAGACUGAGUAAAAGCAGUGGUAGGAAGGAUGAUGUGGAGGGGCUUCUUUGGGUGACUGUCAGAGAUAGGGAAGAGUGGAGCAUGGCUGCGCUUUUCCCUGUCCCUUGUGGUGGGUUAUUUGAUGGUUGGAGCCAUAUUAAGGUCUGGGGUUGAAGCCAACCAACCAUCUUCUUCUCUUCGCUCCUUUCGGCCCCUUACUUGUACAUCCUCACUUCUCCUGAGCCUUCCCUUCCCACAUGAUUUCCUGUCUCUGCUAGAACUUUGAUCUGAUUUAGAUUUUCUGGUAUAUCUGAUAGUCUUACUGUGCCAGGGCCCAGUAUCAGUGCCUCGUGUGCAGGAGGGAUGCAGGUGGGCAUGGGAUGGGGGAGAGGGAAAAUGUCACCCAUAGCUAAGGCUCAUUUCUAAAGGAGCUUUCUGCAUCCUUGAGGCCCACGCUGAACAUCCCCAAACCCCUGAGGUUUCUAAACAUUCCUGUUGGUAAUAUUCCUCCAGAGAUGUAGUGUGAUGUGGAAGACAGAGCACUGGACUCAAGUCCAGGUCUCCAGCUUCCAGUCCAAAGUUCUGUCCACAACACUGUACUUGAAAUCUUGACCAGGCACAUAAAACAGAAGGUGCAGAGUCUCUUUCUUUAAGUAGCAUGCAACAUAGUAAAGAGGAUGGCACUAACAUCCAGUGCAAUGAGAGAACAAUGCAAAAAUGAUGAAGAACUUGCAAGGUGACUUGAGUGUGGUCUGGCGUAUAGAUGCUGGGGAAAUCUGGAGGAUUAGAGCAGGAGGGUGCUGGGGGAGCUCAUCUUUGGAGCCAGGACCCAGACUCCAGGAGAAAGUUCCACAUGCACAUUAUGAUGAGGAGGAUAAAAUAAUCACUAUAAUGAUAAUAAGCCAACUACUAUUUUGAGUGCCUAUUAUAUGCCAGGAUAUUAUACUAGGUGCUUCAUUUUGGAUUAGUUUCUAUUUAUCCUUGUACAUAUCCACAAUGUAGAAAGUGUUAGCUGUAUUUUAUAGAUGGAGACCUUGAAACUCAGAUUAAGAUUCUGACCAAUGUCACAUAGCUAGUACUGGAUAGAGCAGGGGACAUGUCCCACAUCUGCCUGCUGAUACUCCUGGUGAUUUGGCUGUUAUACUGCAGUGUCUGAAAUCAGCAAUGAAAUCUUAGUCCAAACUCUUUUACUGAAUAAAGUGAAAGCAAGUCAGUCUUUCAAGAGGGCCAUCACUCUGAAUUUCAAGUUAUUUCCCUUGCUUCUUCAGUUCAUUUAUAAAAGACAUGGCCGCAAGCAUCCUCCCAAUAGGAUGCUUAACCAGAGAGUAAACUGAAGACAGGAGACUCUGGAAUUUCUUUAUGUGCCUUAUUUCCAACUCCCUUACUGGGCUCAAGAUAACCUAUUAAGCCAUGUGGUCAAAAUAAAUUGACAGAAAUAUUUAUUAUUUCAAUUUACAUUCUAAAUCUUUCAUCUCUCUUAUUGAUUUUAUUUAAGAAUCUAAGUUUAAUUACUAAGUGACAUACUAGUUAUUAAUUCCAUUUGUUUUUGUAAAAGAAAGCACUGUAAUUGGAAUAUAAACCUCGCAUGCUCCGUGGUUGGCUGCCUUCAUUUCAGCUGUGUAGGAUUGGUCUGCUCCAGAGGUAGCAUCUUCUCCUGGCAGCAGGGACACCUCCACUCUGAGCCAGCCUUGGGGUAUCACCCCCUCUGGCCUUGUUCAGUUUGUUGUGACAAGAGAAGGCUUUUUGUGAUGCUGCUUUUGAAGACAUCACCAAACUAUGAAAGCCAUGGAGAUGGUGUGUACACUGUGUGCAUCCAUGAGGAAUGAGGGGAAUGGUAUGUGAUCUAAGUAAGAGUGAGUGUGUGUGUGUGUGUGUGUUUGAUAGAGAGAGGAUAAAAACCAGCAUUACUGAGCACCAGCUUUCUGCCAGGCACUGCUAGGUGCUUUACUAAAUCACACAUCAUCCUCACAAUGUUGAAAGGUAUGUGAUACCAUCACCAUGUAAUAGAGGGGAAAACUGAAACUGAAAGGAAAGAGACUUACCGAAGGCUGCAGAGAAAUCCAGCUGACACCCAAGCAUGACCACCUUCCUCUACAGCUUGCUCAGAUAUUUACGGAGAGCCUAACCUUGUGCUAGUGGAGUCAGGAGGGGCAUAAGUCUGCAAAGUGGGGAGACGACAGAGCAAGACUUUGUUCACAAUCAUGGAACAUCUACACUGAGAAAAAGGGCCCAAGCUCCCUGUUUACCAGUUAGGAGUCAAAGCCAAAGGCUUAACUGAAGUAGUUUUUGCUAAAAGAACACAACUUUUAUAUUCCAAAGAGUCAAAACGUGAUUUUAUUCAGCAUGUAAUUCUAAGAAGUGUGACCAUUUAGAAGUCCUACUGGCAGUAAUAUAAAAUAAAGCAAGGGGAGAUGACACUGGAGAGUAGGUGAUCUGACUAUGAAGACAAAAAUAAAGUCUACAGUUGAUAUAAAUCUAAGCUACCUCACACCACGAGAACAUAUAUUCAAACAGUAAACAUGAGGCAUCAAGAGAAGAUCAGUUUAUGUUAAGAAACAUGUCUUUAGAAGAUCAGGAAUUGUUAUUACACAGUAAAAAUAUUUCCAUCCAAAAUGGGAAUAUGUGGUUACAAAGAGAGUUAUAGACGUGAAUAUAAUAUACCUGAAGUUUGAAGCUUCAGGUCAGAGCAGUAGGUAGAGUGGAAACGCCCAUCCCCUUGAAUUUAGAAGAAAUUUGCUGGAGUCCAGGCUUUCCCCUUGCUGGCCAUAUAUUCUUGCACUUUACCAAUCUGUUCUGUGGUUUUUCCCUUUAUACAAUGAAAAAGACAACCCUAACCCAUCUUAUCUCCAAGAUGGCUACCGAUGUGUUUGAUAAAUUCUGAUAAUCAUGGUCAUGGUCACCAUCAAGAAACUCUCCUUAUUUCCUGGCAAUGCAGGCUUUAAAAAGUAGCACUUGGAUGUGACUGGUAAUCCCAUUAUAGAUUUCUUCUUCUCACUGUUUCCAGAGUCCUCUCAACCCCAGGCAAAGAGAAUUUUGCAUUUUGGCUUUUACAAGGGAUGUGGCUAUGAACAUUUUGUGCACACGUUCUUGCAUUUCUUGAAUACAUUUGCCCAGCAAUGAAAUUGUUGAUAGAAAGGAUUUGUACAUCUUUGGGCCUGAUAAAGUGAAACAGCUAUUCUACCAGAGACAUGGGUUCGUUCAGAUGACUUGUGGGGUCACUACCAUAAUCUAAUGAGGUUGUCCUAUUGUGGCUUAUGUGUAAAUCCAUUUCCCUGUAAGUCUUCCCUGGAGGAGUCAUUCCCAGGACGAGAGUUCUUAAGAUAGGAAAUUGGACUGGAUAGGAAGGCCUUAGAUGAAGAAUAACACCUGCCUCUUUCCAGUCCUCCUUCUCAAGUUAUAGCACCUGGACAAUCUGAGACGACAGUUUCCAAUCAGGGGUGGGAAGGUUCUGAUCCUGGCUCUUUGUCACUAGCUUGCAUUCAGCUACCUUCUCACUGUGAUCAGGACUGUCUCCCCUGUUGGACCAAGAAAGUCCAAUGAGAGGUUUUGGAGACCGUAUUUGUCUUGGAUCCAAAUUUUAUUUCCAUAUAAGGCCCUCACUUGUCUGCUUCUUCUCCCACAUACUCUAGCUUGGCAUAACAUUUGAUUCUUCCAACUCUGCUGACUCCACGUUACCAGAUGUACAAUUCAUGGUGGAAGAGAGCCUCCCUUCCUUAGGAAAGUUAAAUGUUCCUUCUCACUCAGCUCCAGACUCAUCAGUUGAAGACUUCUCUAUUUCCUGUAAGACCAAACAGGAGGCUUCAGCACAUAGCCAAUACUUCUCUGAAUUUUUGUAUCACCUCCUCUAAAGCUAUAUCUUUGAGGGUACAUGAUCAUCUCUGCAAAGUCAGUAUAAGUUAGUUGGUUUCACUAAAGUUUUUCAAAUGUAGGACCGAGAUCUGUAACUUCUCAGCCUGACCUAGGAGAGUCUUAUCGCUAUUUUUUACUGACUCCAACAGUUGAGCCAAUUCCCCAUUUUAGGGUCUAUUUUAAGAACUCCCACUUCUUGCUGCCUAAUUCUAUAUCAGUUAGGAUUCUUGAAGAGAAUGAGUCUCCUCCGUUCUUCGCCCAGCAAAUACAACACCUCCUUUUUAUUUUAAAUAGCUUGUAAUAUCCCCUUUACUAUUCUGCAAUUGAAUUCAUAGUUUAAUCCACUGAUCAUAUAAUUACGAAAAUAUAUCAUGCCCUAACAGCAGUGUAGUGGAGACAUAAAAAGAAGGUAAUUUACAAUAGAAAGAUACAUACAUAUUGAUAUGUAAAUGUCAUCUCACAAUUACACUGGUACCCAUGAAGAUGUUUUCGGGAGUUUGGACCGGGAGAUAGAAUUACCAUGAGUAUGACAGCUAUAAAUGCAGACUAAUAAAGGAGUAUUGUGUUGACAACUCAAGCCCCAUUGGUGCCAUUGCCAUUGGUGACAUGAUUUUCUGAAAAGGUGAACAAAUCUUGGAAGACUUUCAAACGAAAGUACAAUCUUCCCUUGAUUUAAACAAUGGAAAAUUUGGUGUGUAUUAAAACUAUACACAAAGUAAAAAUACUUUGUAUGUAUGUGAAAUGGAGUUAAGCUCUAGGCUCAGAUAAUAAUAAAUAGGUUUAUCACCUACCUGGAAUCCCAGUGGGUCACUAAGAAAUUGUGCUGGAUGAAGGAAGAAUUUUUGUCAUGCAAGCUUAUCCCAUAAAUUCUAACUUCCUUGAUCUCCAUACAUUAAAUGCCAGGCUCACCUCCCAAUUACUGUGAUAAUAAAGACAUCCUUACAAUUUUCCAAAAUGGCCACCCAUUGAUGAACAGCUUUAGGUCAACUAAAAAAAAAUUAGAGGGGAUUGCUGUGAUUGUCUUUCAGUCCCUCUGUCUGCAAGAGUUUCAACCUAAAUCUAGCAGCAAGAUGGCUGCAGUACUUCUGGGAUUCUCAUCUGUACAAAACCUCAUCCAGAGGAAGAGAAACACCACAUGUUCUGGUGGCUCUUUAUAGAAAAGAAACUAUUUUUGCGGAAGUACCUGGAAAUAUCCCUUAGGUCUCAUCAGACCAAGUUGUAGUCUUAGAAUUCCUGAACCAAUCAAUAGAAUUACUCUAACCAAUCAGACUCACUCCUGGAACUGGGAGUGAGGUCAGCUUUCCUUAAAGCACAGAUGUGGAUGGAAAUGUGUGGAUAUCUGAAUAAAAGUCAGGAAUGAAGGGAGAAAUGGAUUCUGGGUAGGCAACCAAAAUGUUCCCUGCAUAUUUGCAGAGUUGAGGAUUGAUUUUAUUCAGGGAGAUUCCAGGUUUGUUGGUGCCUUGAAAGACCACCUGGGCCGGAGGUUACAUAUAUGUGUGUGCAAUGGAUUCCAAAGGCAUAGUUGGAGUAGCUGAGAAUGGGAGGUGGGAGCCCAGGAAAGGAGGAGGCGGGCGCCACAAGUCUGGACGAGCUGCCUUGUAAAAGGAUCAAAGCUCUUUGAGAUCCCUCUGCCAAAGCUCUUGCAGCGUGUGACAGGAACCCAGGUGAAAGAUGGGUGUGAGUGGAACUGAAAGAGACCCCUUGAUGAUUUCCUGAGGAAAUUCACCUGUUUGGCAAUGACUUUGCUCCGCAAGUUUUCCUCCUGCAUCCACAUGUCCUCAUCAACUCCAAACUCAAAGGAAAGCAUGAUGGUUGUGAAACUGAAAAGCAACUUUCAGCGUAUGCAGAUUUGGAACUCAUAAUGCCACCAGCCUGAAACUACUGUUAAUAUUUUGGUACAUCUAAAAUAUAAUACCAAAACCGUUUCUGAGAAUAAACUACUGAAACCAAUUUGAACCGGUGAUUUUAAAAAAUGAAAAAUAAAAUCUGGAAGACAAAGAACACAGUACAGGUAAGUGAUAACAGAUGGACUCAGUUAUAAACACACACAGACACACACACACUCUCUCUCUCUCUCUCUCUCCUCUCUCCCCAUGGGUGAUAGGUCCCUCUACACCACUGCACAUAACUUCAAAUCCAUUUCUUUGCCUGCACAGAUUUGUAGUCAGAUCUUGCUGGGCCUUAUCUUAUUGGUAAAGGCCCACAGCGAUUAAAAUGGCAUUGACAAUCUUCUGAUCUGUCCUUGUAUAAUAGAAAAUUCAGAUUAAGGCAAGAUUAUGGUAAUGGAGGAGAAGAUCUUAGAGUGGGAAGGGCUUUUUGAAGACAGCUUGUUCAGUUCUCCGACUGACACAUAUUUUCUGUCUGUAAUAUCCUGCCUAAUGGCCUUUUCUUGAUCAUCUCCAGUAACAAGAAACUUGUAGCCUCCAGAGGCAGCAUUUUCAUCUUUAGAUGGUGCUGUUAAAAGGCCUUUAAAUGUAACCCUGAUCUGGCUUUAUGUACCUCCCAGUGUGUUCACCAGCUGUGCUCCCUGUGACAUAUAGCGCAAAUCUGAACCACUGUCAUAUGGAAGAGGAGUUUGAUAUUUCGUAUGUUUAACAGGACAGGUUCAACUUCAGUUAUCUGGAAAAGGCCAAGAAGCCAGAGGAGUGAGGCAUUGUUUCAAAUCAUAAACUGACAAGAUUUGAUUAAACGUCAUCAUUUGCCCAGCAUUGUACGUGUACAAUGAAGAACCAAAGACUGGACUCUCAAGGAAGCAAAGAGACAAAAGUGACACAGCCACAAUGCUCAGCAUGCAAGUUAGCACCCAACUGACGGGCCCAGAUCAUGAGAAUUAUAGGCCCUUAGCACACUGAGGAGAGACUGGGGAGGAUCGAGAUUAGUAAAGAGAAAUAGAAGGUUCUCUAGCCAAUGGAGACAACUCAAGCAAAGGCCCUGGAAUGGGACUGGCAAGAAGAAGUGAGACCAGCCGAGUUCAGUCGAGGAACGGGUAGGAUAAUGUAUCUCAUGGAUCUUCCUCGAAUGCCUCACCUCAGAAAGAUCUAACACAACAAAUAAAACAAAAGCAGUGAAGAUAGCGACCUGUGAGGACCAAAGCCAUCUAUGCAGAACUCCAGGGAGCUUCUGCACCGGCAACCGGCACAGAGAGUCAAAAUCCUCUUCUGCCUUCUUCACUUUUCUCAGUCCUCAGGACACCAAGCUUCUAACUGACCAUGCUUCCAUAGCAUGCCCACACUUCGCCUGCACUUCCUUUAGGCUGACGUCGACACUCCCCCUGCCAUGCAAUGCUCUAUACUCCCAGGUGAAGAGUUUCCCUUCCCACUGGGCUGGAUGAUUCUGGGACCUAAGGAUCUGCUCAGAAGAGCAGAUGCUCAGUGAGUGCAUAUUAAACAGCUCUAGUGCUCCUUCCCUGGUUUUAUAAUCUGGUCCACAAAAUUCCUGGUAGCCAUCUUCAACAACAUUGCAAAACAACAUGGACCUUUAAAAGAAAGUCUGAGCAUCAGUUAACACAACUUGAAUACAAGAAAUCCCAGCAGCUCACAAUCUUUCACCCUUUUCCAAAACAUCCUGUGGGUCAGCAACAUCCCUCUAACAUGCAGAGUGAAAGGAAGAUCUCCUCUCAGAUCUUACUGCAGGCCCCCCAUUGGGGUCUUUGGGAGAUAGUCACCCAAAUGGCCUGCAUUUGAAGUUGGCAAGACCACCCCAGAAACAGCAUCUGUCCAUGUUCCUUUCACCAAGAUCCGUGGUCUGCUGAUUGUUGAGACUUGGGUUCAAGUGUUGACUUCCCUUUUUUUUUUCUUAAAGAUUUUAUUUUUCCUUUUCCUCCCCAAAGCCCCCCGGUACAUAGUUAUAUAUUUUUAGUUGUGGGUCCUUCUAGUUGCAGCAUGUGGGACACCGCCUUAGCAUGGCCUGAUGGGUGGUGCCAUGUCCGCACCUAGGAUCCAAACCAGCAAAACCCUGGGCUGCCACGGUGAAGUGCGCAAACUUAACCAUUUGGCCACGGGGCCGGCCCUCUUGACUUCCCUUUUAUGGGCUAAAGUUUUGUCAACUCACUGUACCUCAGUGACAUGGCGAGUGUCCCUUCUGCUUGUGUCAUCCCUGCCUCAGUCUUUCCUGCCCACGUGCAGUGUUGCGCUGCAAUACAACAGGGAGAUGGGAAGGGCUUGCUGAGUCAAACUGGAGGCCAAGCAGAGGCAGCUUUGCCUACGUGAAGUGCUCCACCCUCUCAGCCUUUCCUAUUGAAACCACACUCUCACUGACUCUCUCUUCCACUAUCAGCUUCCAGACAGAUCCGGUGUCUCCAAAUGCUCUGUUCUUCUCAGGCAAGACUUUCAGCUGCACAGUCCUACCUUCUUUCUCUUUUCUUUCUUUCACACCCCAUAACCAAAUCUGGUCAACUAUAUUUUUAAAUCAUAUACCCAAACCAAUCACUUCUCACACCAUUCGUCACUACCACCCUAGUAGCCAUCAUCAUCUCUCAGUUGGAUUAUUUCGACAGUCCCCAAAUUGGUCUCCCUGCUUUCACCCUUGUGCUGACUGCACAUAAGAGCCAGGGGGGUCCAUUUGAAAUGUAAGCCAUGUCCUGUCCCUCCUCCUCCAGGGGCCUUCGAUUUACUCAGAGUAAAAUCACCUUCUCUCUAAAGGCCUUACGGCCCUAUGAUCUGGUCCCCAUCUCCUACUCUCCUCCUGCUUAGACUCCACCCACUCUGGCCUCCACACAGCCAGGCACCCUGCUACCUCAGGGCCUUUGCAUUUGGAUUAUUUUUCUGCUUGAAAUUCUUUUCUCCAAGAUACCCAUAUAAUUUGUUUCUUCUCUUCUUCCCAGGUUUGCUCAAAUGUCACCUCAUCAGAGAGUACUCUCUGACCUCCCCAUGCAAAAUGCACCUCCAUGGAAGUCUCUCUCUCCCUCUUGCUGAUUCAUUUUUCUUCCUGGCACUGAGGGCCAGCUAAUAUUUUAUAUAUUUAUUUAUCUCUUUACUGUCUUUCUCCACCCCACCCCCACCCCCCCAAGCCUCCAGAAUGUUAGUCCUUUAAGUACUGAGAUUUUGCUUUUUACCACCAUAUUCCCAGAGCUUAGAACAGUGCCUACCACAUUAAAGUGCUC